AUACGUAGGGUGCGAGCGUUGUCCGGAAUUACUGGGCGUAAAGAGCUCGUAGGUGGUUUGUCGCGUCGUCUGUGAAAUUCCGGGGCUUAACUCCGGGCGUGCAGGCGAUACGGGCAUAACUUGAGUACUGUAGGGGAGACUGGAAUUCCUGGUGUAGCGGUGAAAUGCGCAGAUAUCAGGAGGAACACCGGUGGCGAAGGGGGGUCGCUGGGCAGUAACUGACGCUGAGGAGCGAAAGCAUGGGUGGCGAACAGGAUUAGAUCCCCUGGUAGUCCAUGCCGUAAACGGUGGGCGCUAGGUGUAGGGGUCUUCCACGACUUCUGUGCCGUAGCUAACGCAUUAAGCGCCCCGCCUGGGGAGUACGGCCGCAAGGCUAAAACUCAAAUGAAUUGACGGGG
rnacentral:rRNA from 1 species